rnacentral:rRNA from 1 species
CCUACGGGCGGCAGCAGUGGGGGAUAUUGCACAAUGGGGGGAACCCUGAUGCAGCGACGCCGCGUGGGUGAAGGAGCGUUUCGGCGCGUAAAGCCCUAUCGGCAGGGAAGAAGAUGACGGUACCUGACCAAGAAGCCCCGGCUAACUAUGUGCCAGCAGCCGCGGUAAUACGUAGGGGGCAAGCGUUAUCCGGAUUUACUGGGCGUAAGGGGGGCGGAGACGGCAAUGCAAGCGCGGAGUGAAAGCCCGGGGCGCAACCCCGGGACUGCUCCUGGCACUGCAAGGCUGGAGUACAGGAGGGGCAGGCGGAAUUCCUGGGGUAGCGGUGAAAUGCGUAGAUAUCUGGAGGAACAUCAGUGGCGAAGGCGACUAUCUGGCACAUAACUGACGCUGAGGAGCGAAAGCGUGGGUAGCAAACAGGAUUAGAUACCCGAGUAGUC